AUUGAACGCUGGCGGUAUGCUUAACACAUGCAAGUCGAACGGCAGCAUGGUCUAGCUUGCUAGACUGAUGGCGAGUGGCGGACGGGUGAGUAACGCGUAGGAAUAUGCCUUGAAGAGUGGGACAACUUGGGGAAACUCAAGCUAAUACCGCAUGUACUCGAGAGAGUAAAGCUGGGGACCUUUAGGCCUGGCGCUUUAAGAUUAGCCUGCGUCCGAUUAGCUAGUUGGUAGGGUAAAGGCCUACCAAGGCGACGAUCGGUAGCUGGUCUGAGAGGAUGAUCAGCGACACUGGAACUGAGAGACGGUCCAGACUCCUACGGGAGGCAGCAGUGGGGAAUAUUGGACAAUGGGGGGAACCCUGAUCCAGCAAUGCCGCGUGUGUGAAGAAGGCCUGAGGGUUGUAAAGCACUUUCAGUGGGGAGGAGGUUUGGAAGGUUAAGAGCUAUUCAAAUGGACGUUACCCACAGAAGAAGCACCGGCUAACUCCGUGCCAGCAGCCGCAGUAA
rnacentral:rRNA from 1 species